rnacentral:tRNA from 1 species
GGGGGUGUAGCUCAGUGGCAGAGUGUUUGACUGCAGAUCACACGGUUCUUGGUUUAAAUCCAAGUGCCUUCU